AUAUCGAAAUAUCAUUUCAUAAUAUAAAUUGACUGGAAAAACAAUUGUAUACGAAAUAUGAGCCCUCCUAAUGGUUGUUAAGGGUCCACAGUAUUAGUUCCAUGGAAAUCUGUUUAGUAAUUCACGAACAUACGUAAGCGUCUGCAUAAGAGAUUGAUGACAAGGUGUAUUCGAGGAAAGAGGUCACUAGAUAUAAAUCGUAUGACUGAAAAUGAGAAAUUAAGAAUUGACCUAUAAAAAACGACCAUAGAUAUUCAGAGAACAGAAAACGUCACGGCACCGUGAUACAACAAUUUCAAUGCUCAAUAUGUUCGAUGCUAAUCGGAUAUUCGUUAUCUAUGGUAUAUUAUAUAUUGACUUUACAUGAAUCCAUGUAAACUUCACUGAAAUUUAACGAAGCAACGUCUCCAUCUUAGAAAUAAUUGAUCGUUCAGUUGUUCGAGCAAGAAACUGCAAGAAACAAAGGUAAAUCUAAUUAGGACGUUGCUGCGAUGCGUGAAUAAAUAGAUCGACAAUGGAGGCGAACGUAAAAAUAAAGCUGUUCAAAACGUAGGCAGAAACAAAAGUCGAAGGUUCAAUUAUAAACAGUUUGCAUUCUUUUUUCAAACAGAGCGACCGUUUCCUAUAAAUUAUUUACGUAAUUUUCUACAGAUGAGUUCAAUUCGGAGAUUUGAUCGUAGUCGUUGAAGCGAUGCGUUUUCACUCCAGGAAGCGUAAGUUCCUACUUCCGUCAUCGUUAUCGAGACAUGACAAACGCGUGUAGAGAUCAUCGGAGUAUACAUAUAUUAUAUAUAUAUAUAGACCACGAUAUAACGAGGUCAUAAAAUUAGUUGAUAAGCAAAGCAACGUAAUUCGGAUAUCGAAACACAGGAAUUAUAAACAUGACUAAAAGCACAUAAAGACUAAAAGUUUCAGUUUUGAAUUCUGUGGCUGUACGAAGAUUAUAUGUAGAAUCUAUCGUACUUCAUCAAAGAUAAAAUAAUGAACGAUGAUAAAUUCUUCUUUUCUAAGGAAAAAGAUAAUCGCCAAACAAUAUAUCGCGACGCGCCUUUACAUUGUUCAAAUUGUUAUUUAUGAAUUAAUUAUAUUGCGAUUAAUCGCAUUUGCAAACAAUAUUCAAUUUGUCGAGAAUAAGUGGUGCGUAACGAAAUGCAUCUUUUAAACGAGUUUAUCGAUAUUCUCGGCAAUCUCUAGUUUGGGAUGCGCGUCAAACAGUCACAUCAUUUGUUUGAUGAUCAAUAUCAAUACCACCGGUACUGGAUUGAAUUUCAUGAACCUUUCAUACAAUAAAAUAUUAGUCGCGUUUUUUUUUCUAUAUUAACGAAUAUUGAUUGAAAGCGUUCGUAGAUAUUACGUAUUUGCUUUUUACCUAUCUAUUCUGCUAUAAUAAUUUUCAAAAUAAAACAUCACACGGAGAUACACAAAGCGCAAAGCAAAGAUUCUUUAUCGCUAAACACAUACGUAGCUGAUUAUCAUGUAUCAAGCUCAUAAACGAUAUCUACGAAUUAAAUAAUAUCGAAUUCCAAUGAACCCGUCCUUAUCUGGCUACUUCUCUUUGAAAUGAGAGAUAAUCGCGACUUCUUCAUAUAACUAGGUAUUCAGUGUUCGAGGUUGACGAGCUUGUCGAGGUGCCAAGUGUCGGAUGGCUAACGACUUCUUUGAGAAGCUUAAAGCGAAAAGUCAAAGGUUAAAGAACGUUCACCCCAGUGUCCACAAGAAAAGAAAUGUUAUUCUAGAGUGCUGAUGCUGGCAAAUCAAUAGACAGACCGACACGAGAAAAAGACGUUAAUAUUCGAAGUGGCACAACAGCUUAUGUACUCAGAUAAACACAUAUAACCGACGAAUAAUUAUUAAAGGUGUUAUAAUUUCAUUAUUCAUGCCUUCUUAUAAAGUUUAUUCGCACAAUCGUGAGAAUAAUGAAAUUCGGUUCAACAGCAUGGAAUACAAAAACUAAACGUGUAAUCCAAUAUUUCUAAUUAUUAUAACACUCCUGUAAAUACUUGUUUAAUGAUAAAUUAACAAAGUGGCGAUGUAAUGUAAUUAAGACGAUACAAUUAAAAACUCUGUUUACAUCUUUUACAUUAUCAGGGCUUUAAAAUAAUUUUCUAAUUACUUUGCUCACAAAUAUUUCUAGAAAAGUAAAUAUAUUCAUGUUUAAAAUUCGUGAAUAUGCAAGAUAUAUAAACUAAGAGUUUCGAUUUAGAGUAAUAUGCAAUAUACAUAUAAAUUUAAUCUUUCACAUCAAGAUUUUACAAUUCGCGGCUAAUCUGAGUUCGCUUCAGAGAAUAUUAAUAAUUCUAACCAUAUCCCCCCUUGAAUUCGUCAUGUUCGGCCUACCUAUAAAUUGAUCACAUCAAAUCCUCAAAUGAUCGAUAUAUAACCUCAUAUACAUGUUACAUCUCGUUUUCGAAUAUUCGCUAGAUAUCAAAAAUAAUACCAAUAACAAUAACUAACAACUAACAGUCAAUUAACUACCACGUUUCUUAAGAAUUCGCGAUAUCAAUGCAACGAAAUAGUAUCAGGGACAAUUACAACUCUGCUCAAACUCAAACUCAAACUCUGCUACAGCUCAAAUUAAUUUUGGUCAAGCAAUAAAAACCACUCAAAUAUUUAACGAUCGUGUACUCGGACAAGUAAGUUAAACAAUUAAUAGAUAAUUUAAAAUUGAAUUUUUUAGAGACUUAUAGAAAAAGUACAAUAUGAAAAUCAAAAUUUCGGUAUUUUCCAUUUCCAUUAAGCUUCAUUUGAAAACGGAGAUGGAGAUUGUAAUUAAGUCAUUUAUAAUCCGCUUUAAUAUUUCAUUUUUAUAGAUCUUGAAUUAACUAUAUCAACACCUUUUUUAAUUACAGGUCGCAUUUAGUAUAAAAGUAUAAGAUGUUGUUAAAGAAAAACGCAAACAAUCAAGUGCAAGCGAAUAACCCUUCUCCUAUUAAAAUAUUCAACUAAAAUUACUGUAUCCCCUAUGAUCCUAUAACACCAAUAUAGGAUUAAGUAAAUGCCAAAACAUAUUCGAAAUUGAGAGAAAUGAAAUAUCAAUUAUAUUCGAUACUCUCAAAUAACGGCAUAGGAUGAAGGACCAAGUUUUACUGAAAAUUCGGAAGGAAAGCAACGAAUCGAUAUAGUGAUGCGGAAAGAAUUUAAGUUCAUCGAAUUCCUAUCGAUUUUGCUAAAUUAUGAAAUUCCAUUCUGAAUUCGUAGAAAUUAGGUUUCAUCCAGUUACGUGCUUAAAGACGGGUGUGGUCGUCGGUGGAGCGUAGACCACGCGAGACAGUCGGGCACCCAUGAACAAACUCCACAAGGCUGUCGUCCUAUAUUUCGAGUUAUUGCCAGCUGUAAUUGCAGCAGAAUGAAAUCGAUGUUAGCCGACUUACCAGAAGAAAGGAAAAGAAAUUUGGUCGCAUUUAUUUGCGCGCAAUCACGAUUCAUGCAUCUAUCUCUUCUUACCUGUUGUAACGAUCUUCCCAUGUAGUUCAGCCGAAUUAAGCCUAAAAUAGAUGAUUUCAGAAAGAAAUUGAUAGUAUAAAUGGUUUUGCGUGGUAUGCUUCGGGACGAUAUUUAGAACAAAAUAAGCAAUUGUGAAACAAUUUUCCGCCGGUGCUUUAUAAGCAAAAUAUCGAUUAAACGAAAAAAGCACUACCUUUUUUUAUAUCUCGCUUUAUAAAACUUAAAAACUAUUUAUUGUACGUGAAAAGGUUUCAAUGGAAAGUUGCAGCUAAUGAAAUUAUCUGUAAAGUGAAUAAAAUUGAGAGAUUAUGAAUUAGUAAGAAGUAGAACAAAAUACACUUUUCUUAAGUAGUUUAUACCGUACGUUAAAAUUAUCAUUCAAUAUCGAGGCUCUGAGAUAAACAAGUUCUAGUCAUUUUAAAAUAGGUACCAAAUUUCGAAUCGAUCCGUCUAUUAGUUUUCGCACAAUCAAUUUGUCAACUUACAAUACGGGAAAUUUAAAAUUUACAAUAAAAGUGUAUGAGCUUAUCUUACUUUAUCCCUUGAGCUCGUACGCUAUCUGGAAGAUCUGGAUUUUGAUAUGCAAGUGUGAAAAUAUCUUUUCAUUCAAACGCUUGUGAUGCUAAAACAUGUUGAUGGUUACUUUCGCUUAGUUGUAAAAUGCUAUUAUUUUCCCACUUUACGUCCUACUUUUGUGAAAUCUGUUUUUACCGAUUUUUUUAAUCAUUCCACGUAAUUUAAAAAUAAAACAUGUUUUCAGCAACAAUAGAACUGAUUGGCUCAAAGAUAGAUUUUUUUUCAAAAAUUCGCGAACGCUGAACUAUUAAACAGUAAGAGAUGAAACUGGCGUCGUUUCACAGUUUAUUAUUUGUAUUAUAUGUUAAUUUUUUUAUAUCAAUUAAACACCCAUAAGGGAUAGAAAUACGUUUACAAAGUUUGCGAUUUUUUCCAUCAAUUACAGUUUUCGCACGUAUGAUUAAGAAACGGUGCGAGGGCUGCGUCGAUGUCCUCUGACUGCCUGCUGUGAAAAUGGAACAACUUUAUCUCGUUUUACAAAUAACUUCAUUAGCUACAACAUCCUACUGAAACUUUUGCAUGUACGAAAAAUAAUUCUUAAGGUAUAAAACGAAAUGUAAAAAAAUCUCGCUCUUUUUCGUUUACUCCAUAUUUUGUUUAUGAAGCAUCGGAGGAAGAUUAUUUCAAAGUCGCUUAUUUCGUUCUAAAUAUCGUUCCGAAUUAUAUCAUGCAAAAACAUUUCUACUAUCAAUUUGUUUUCAAAAAUAUAUUAAUCCAACUGGAUUAAUGGUGUGCCGUUUCGUGAUAUCGACUCUUCGCUAAACGGAACAUUGUCAUCGAUCAAAGAGUAACAGCGAAAUUAUACCACUGUUGUUUUGCUGUGUACGUAAUCGGAACUGACAACGCUAUCGAAACGUAAUCCUCGCCCAUUACCUAUCGAAUUGCGUAUAUACAACUUCUGUACUAAAUCUAAAGUUCCCACAAAUAGUUCACGGAAUCUGACGUGCGAAUAGAUUUUUUUUAUAUACAAUUUGCAGGAAGGAGUUUUAUUUUAUAUUACAAAAUCGAACAAAAUCGUAACAAAGACUUUUAUCUAACAUCUAGGAAAUAUUCGUAGAAAUACAGAAAAGAAAUUUUCUCUAAAGAAAGCAGAAAAGAUUUCUUCUUUAUAAUCUGGAUAGAGAUGUUUCCAAAAAAGAGCUCAAAAGGAAUAUCAUCUUCUUUAAAAGUCUAAAAAGAGAUUUUUGUUCUAUCCAUCAUGUUCGUAUAUAUAUAAUCUAUAAUCUAUAUAUAUAAUUCGUUAUUAUCUAAGCUAGUAUUUUUCUUCCUUGGAGUAUUUAGUAAUAAUUUCACGUUAACAAUUCAACGUUCUAUAUUUUUGUAUAUAUACGAAAGUUUUCAGUUGUUUCGCUCAGGAGUAACAAAAAUUGUUACUAACACUCGUUUUUGUAUGUCGACACUGUUCAUGUUUUUGCAUACGCGUCAAUUUUCACCAGCAGCCUCUGCCUUUAAUAAUUCCUUGGUUACAUGAUAUCUCUAUUUUCUUUUUCCUAUUUGUUUAUUUAUAAUCGCAUCAACUACGAGGUUACUAGUGACUACUUUGGAUUGAAUAAUACGCAUAUAUCAUUGUGGUAUGUACUCUAAUAUAAGGUCUCUAGUAGUGCAAGGCACAUGGAUCUCUAUUUUCGGCAGCGAAACUGUACCAGCCGAAUGCUUUGUCUCAGUUUAGUGCAUACUCGCAAAGUGAACAACAAUGGUUUUUGGUACAGUUGGAGACACGUAGGAACUACAGUUUUAAAUUUUAGAUAGGUUCCAAAUCACCAGAGACCGUGCUGAUAUAAGUAUAAUACAAGUACGAACAAAUCAAAUUGUAGAGAUACCGCAGCCACUAUUUUGUUUCACGUAAUAGAAAAUAUUUGUCGAUACACUUCCGAUCCAAAUUAGAUAUCUCUAUAUUGUCUUAAUAUGCUUGUUAUUUUCCCAAUCCGGCUUGAUUUUUCCCAUAGACGUUUGGCUACUGAUAAAUAAUUUAUAAUUAAUCAUUUCAUUAUCUUCUUGCAUCAAUUUUAUUAAACAUUACAAUCUGAAAUUGUACGAAUUUCACGAACUCUAUUAUAUUCUCUCCUCAAUGACUUCCCAAUUUUAUUGAUUUGAACGAUGCGUUUACUUCGAUCAAAAGUUGCAAUAUAUAUUUCAUUAUUUAUGAAUUAACUUUUAUUACGGAAUAUUUUUCAUAAAAUCUCAUUUUUCAGAUACCCUAUAUACAUGAAUACAAAAAUGGAAAAAUGUCGCGUCAAUCAACAUACAGACGUCCUUUAGUUUAAUCGCGAGAUCUUCAACUUAAUAUAGUUUAAGAUAAUAGCGAUAAGUAUAAUUUCUACGAAAAGUUCUGAUAUACACAUGUGCGAAAAUUUCGACGCGAAAUAUCAUCUCAGACGAACGUUAUAUCCACACGAAUGUCAUCAACUAUUCGUUACCAUUAAAGCAACAAUUUACAGUUUACAGGGUUCCCAGAAAAAGAUGCGUCCACAUAAAAAUGAUUUACAUAUUUUUCUCCAAGAAUUUAACGCAAAAUCCCAUUAAGCUAAUAUUUACUCGAAACCGCAGGAAAUUGUAAUUUUGCAUUAACGUAGCUGUAUAACGAAAUGAUACACGUGUCGUGUUUAGGAUGUUCGUAAUUACAUAUUUGAAAUUAAUUUUUAGAUAUAGCUCCGAUAGAGGAAAUCGCUCUGACUCGAAUAUACCAAACUGUCGAAUCAAUUAACCGUUUACAAAUCAUUUUCCAGCAAUCAAACACAGAAUCGAACAUAAAUCGCUCGAUAGGCCAUCUAAAAUGAGCGAUAUGAUCGGCAUAAUUUAUUCCAGAGUGCACGAGCAGCUCGUUGAAUAAUUUGACGAGAAAGCAAUGUAAAUAACGGAAAACAUGUAAAAGAGAAUCCGAUACGUUAAUUUCUUUCCAAUAAUUAAAUACAUAAUACAUUUUCAUAUGUAAGAUAAAUAAAAAAAUAUUUCACAUUGAAAA